rnacentral:misc_RNA from 1 species
UUAUUUGCUUCUUUCGGUGCUUUAAAAAGAACAAGAUUUCUGGAGAAUACAGAUACGAUCAGCAACUCAGAGAAAAAGUUCAGAAGACGAGUUAAGUCUUUGAAAAAAGUUGAGUCUCUUUUUUUUCUUCUCUCUUAUUCUUUUGCUUUGCAAUCUCAGAAGGAGAAGAAGAAACAUUUUUCAUGUUGGAGUGGUAAAAAUUCCUUGGAGAAGGCAUAGAAAUGGGUUUUCGGUUGUCUAUUUAUUUUCAGUGAGUCAAGAGAGGGAAAUUUAGAGGCGAAAACAAACAUGGUGUUCUUCUACCUUUACCUCCUUGUCAGUCUGUUGUUUGCGCUGGCAACUCUACAACGUGUUUGCGGAAAUACCGAGUUAAGAGCUUUGAUGGAGCUUAAGUCCGCCUUAGACCCAACCAACAAGUUCUUGAACUCUUGGACUAGCGACGGUGAUCCGUGUAGGGGCACAUUCGAGGGGGUUGCUUGCAAUGAGCACCGCAAAGUGGCCAACAUUUCGCUGCAAGGAAAGGGUCUCUCUGGCACGGUAUCACCGGCUGUGGCCGAGCUUAAAUGCUUGUCGGGCCUCUACUUGCAUUACAACUCGCUGUCUGGAGAGAUACCCAAAGAGUUAGCAAAUUUGACAGAGUUAUCUGAUCUUUAUCUCAAUGUUAAUAAUCUUUCUGGGAGCAUUCCUCCUGAGAUCGGUGGCAUGGCUAGUCUCCAAGGUUAGUAGUUGAUUUUGAAAAGGGGUAAAAUUACUGUUUGUGUUGCUUGCUUCUUUUUUCCUCAGUGUUCUUUUUCUUCUUUUCCCCCCUUGUCCUCUUCUUCAUUAAUGAAUAUGAUUUCUUAGAUCAGGCAUGAUAUUGCUUAUUAUAUCGGAAAAAAUAAAAUGCCUUAAUCAGGCCAAACUGUAAUAUGCAGUAGUGUAAAUUCUUCGUCUCCAAUAGUGCACUAUGGUUUGCAUUUCGGUUUUGUUGGACAUGAUUUUGUCGAAGUAUUUAUGAGAACCGGGUUUUCUUUACUCGAUAGUUUCUCAUCAUAAAAAUUUGGAUUGGUUGUCAGUGUUGCUCAAGAUUUCUGCAUUAUGGGUUGACCCUGUUUAAUUGGAUUUUUCUUUGUUUUGUAGUUUUAGAGCUAUGUUGUAACCAGCUAACAGGGAUCAUACCUAAAGAGAUGGGGUCCUUGAAGUGGCUAACCGUUCUUGCAUUGCAAUAUAACAGACUAACUGAUCAAAUUCCAGCUAGCUUAGGGAACUUGGGGAUGUUGAGAAGGCUUGAUUUAGGUUUUAAUCGCUUGUUCGGUCCCAUUCCUCCAAGAGUAGCUAAUGCUCCUCAAUUGCAAGUGCUAGAUGUCCGCAACAAUUCUCUUUCUGGAAUGGUCCCUUCUGGUUGGCUUCUUUUUCUCUUUCCUCUCAAUCUUUUUGACUAUCUUUCUGGAGUGCCCUAUUGAAUACAGUUUCUCCUGUCAUUUUGUGGUGCAUAUUGUUGGCUUAUACCGAUUUUAGUUUUUUACACUUGAAAAUGAAGCUUUGCAGAGAUUAAAAGGAGGGUUUCACUUUGAGAACAACAAAGAUUUAUGUGGAAUUGGGUUUCAAAAACUGAGAGCUUGCACUCCAUUUGAUAAUGUGAACAUCAACCAAGUUGAACCUCUGGGACCAAUAAAAAAUAAUACUACUUCAAAUAAUAUGCCUGCGUCUGCAAUUUUUCAUGUACCUAGCAACCAAACCAACUGUUCAAAAUCGUCAAAAUUUCCACAACUUGCGAUUGUUGCAGGGGUAAUUACUGGCACCGUUAUGUUGAUAGGUGGUGGAUUUCUGAUCACUUUCUUUCUUCGCCGGAAAAAACAAAAGAUUGGAAAUACAUCCGAGUCUUCUGUUGGACGGCUGAGCAUUGACCAGGCUAAGGAGUUCCAUAGGGGUGGUGCUUCUCCACUUGUAAGCCUGGAGUACUCUAAUGGGUGGGAUCCAUUAGGUGUUUGUCGAAAUGGUAUCGGAAUUUUCGCAGACAGUCUAAACGACUUUAGAUUCAACCUGGAGGAGAUUGAAUCUGCAACUCGAUGCUUCUCUGAGGUGAAUUUAUUGGGAAAGAGCAGCUUCUCAUCUGUUUACCAAGGAAUACUUAGAGAUGGUUCUGUUGUAGCGGUUAGGAGCAUUAACAUAACAAGUUGUAAGUCUGAAGAAGAUGAAUUUGUGAAGGGCUUGAACUUACUGACAUCUCUGAGACAUGAGAACCUUGUUAGACUACGAGGCUUUUGUUGUUCCAGGGGCAGGGGUGAAUGUUUUCUCAUCUAUGAUUUUGCUGCAAAGGGAGACCUGUCAAAAUAUCUUGAUAUUGAAGAUGGAAGCCAUCAUGUUCUCGACUGGUCCACAAGGGCUUCCAUUAUCAAUGGCAUUGCAAACGGUCGGUUUUAUUCUACAAACUGUCUUUCCAUGUCAUUUACUCAUAGCCCAGCAAGUUUCAAUUUGGUUAUCCUUACUUCUCACUUCUUAAGAUAUGUUCCAUCAUCAGCAACUGCAAUCUGCAUACUAGAUAUAAGAUGAAAGAAAAUUGAUAAGUGAACUAUAAAGCAAAUAAUUUUCCACCAUUUAUGAUGAUAUUGAGCUAAUUUAUUAGGUUUUUGCAUUGACUUCGGUUUUAAUUCUGAAUAUCUUCAAACUCAAAGAAUGCUACAUGGUAAACAGGAUGAAAACCGUUCUAUGUUUCUGUCAUUGUAUAUCGAUAUUGUCGUCUUGUGUUGAGUAGGUAUUGAAUAUUUGCACAGCAGUGAAGCAAACAGACCUGCCACAAUCCACCGUCGCAUAUCUGUGGAGAAAGUUCUACUUGAUCAACAAUUCAACCCAAUGAUUGCAGAUUCUGGCCUUCCAAAGCUUCUAGCAGAUGAUAUUGUCCUCUCAGCCCUUAAAAUAAGUGCUGCCAUGGGAUAUCUAGCUCCAGAGUAUGUAACUACUGGGCAUUUUACUGAGAAGAGUGACAUAUAUGCAUUUGGAGUGAUCAUCCUCCAAAUCCUCUCUGGUAAACAGAUGCUUACCAAUACAAUGCGCGCGGCAGCUGCAUCUUGCAGAUAUGAAGAUUUUAUUGACUCCAAUCUUAAAGGAAACUUCUCUGAGUCACAAGCAGCUAAGCUGGCAAAAAUUGCACUUGCUUGCACUCAAGAGCUUCCUGAGCACAGGCCAACCAUGGAGGCAGUGAUCCAAGAGCUGAACAAAAGCAAUGAUUGUUCUUGAUUGCUAUAUUCUCCUUUUUGGAAAAUUGAUGACCCAAAGAGGAAACUGGAGACCUCACAAAACUGCACAAAUUGGUCACGCUAUUAUUAUUCUUGAGCCUUCAAAGGAGAGUACGGCUUACAGCAAUGCCUAUUGUAAAAUUGGAGUUGAUUGACAAGAUACUCUUAGAAGCAAAUUCUUUUGAUUUAAACUUUAAAAAGUUUUUUCGUAAGAGCCUUACGAGAAGUUGGCACAGCCCCCUGUAAUAUCUCCGGAAAGGAAAAAAAUGAGUCCUUUCCGUUUUCUCGUGGUUGAUCGCACAUCCACAAAUAGGACAUUCUUGGAGAAUCGAACUAAAGAACCGUAUUGAAUUGAUAUGAAU